CCUACGGGAGGCUGCAGUGGGGGAUAUUGCACAAUGGGGGGAACCCUGCUGCAGCGACGCCGCGUGGGUGAAGAAGCGCCUCGGCGCGUAAAGCCCUGUCAGCAGGGAAGAAAAUGACGGUACCUGAAGAAGAAGCCCCGGCUAACUACGUGCCAGCAGCCGCGGGAAUACGUAGGGGGCAAGCGUUAUCCGGAUUUACUGGGUGUAAAGGGGGCGCAGACGGCGAUGCAAGCCAGGAGUGAAAGCCCGGGGCCCAACCCCGGGACUGCUCUUGGAACUGCGUGGCUGGAGUGCAGGAGGGGCAGGCGGAAGUCCUGGUGUAGCGGUGAAAUGCGUAGAUAUCAGGAGGAACACCGGUGGCGAAGGCGGCCUGCUGGACUGCAACUGACGUUGAGGCCCGAAAGCGUGGGGAGCAAACAGGAUUAGAUACCCCGGUAGUC
rnacentral:rRNA from 1 species